rnacentral:rRNA from 1 species
UACGGAGGUGGCAAGCGUUGCUCGGAAUCACUGGGCGUAAAGGGCGCGUAGGCGGGGAGGUAAGUCGGGUGUGAAAUCCCUCGGCCCAACCGAGGAACUGCGCCCGAGACUGCUUCUCUUGAGUCCCGGAGAGGAAGAUGAAUUCCCGGUGUAGCGGUGAAAUGUGUAGAGAUCGGGAGGAACACCAGUGGCGCAGGCGGCUCUCUGGGUCGGCCCUGACGCUGAGGCGCGAAAGCGUGGGGAGCGAACGGG